rnacentral:rRNA from 1 species
GGUAGCACAGAGAGCUUGCUCUCGGGUGACGAGUGGCGGACGGGUGAGUAAUGUCUGGGAAACUGCCCGAUGGAGGGGGAUAACUACUGGAAACGGUAGCUAAUACCGCAUAACGUCGCAAGACCAAAGAGGGGGACCUUAGGGCCUCUUGCCAUCGGAUGUGCCCAGAUGGGAUUAGCUUGUAGGUGAGGUAACGGCUCACCUAGGCGACGAUCCCUAGCUGGUCUGAGAGGAUGACCAGCCACACUGGAACUGAGACACGGUCCAGACUCCUACGGGAGGCAGCAGUGGGGAAUAUUGCACAAUGGGCGCAAGCCUGAUGCAGCCAUGCCGCGUGUAUGAAGAAGGCCUUCGGGUUGUAAAGUACUUUCAGCGGGGAGGAAGGGAGUGAGGUUAAUAACCUYAUUCAUUGACGUUACCCGCAGAAGAAGCACCGGCUAACUCCGUGCCAGCAGCCGCGGUAAUACGGAGGGUGCAAGCGUUAAUCGGAAUUACUGGGYGUAAAGCGCACGCAGGCGGUCUGUCAAGUCGGAUGUGAAAUCCCCGGGCUCAACCUGGGAACUGCAUUCGAAACUGGC